rnacentral:rRNA from 1 species
UACGUAGGGUGCGAGCGUUGUCCGGAAUUAUUGGGCGUAAAGGGCUCGUAGGCGGUUUGUCGCGUCGGGAGUGAAAUCCUACGGCUUAACUGUGGGCUUGCUUUCGAUACGGGCAGACUAGAGGUAUGCAGGGGAGAACGGAAUUCCUGGUGUAGCGGUGAAAUGCGCAGAUAUCAGGAGGAACACCGGUGGCGAAGGCGGGUCUCUGGGCCGAUACUGACGCUGAGGCUCGAAAGCGUGGGGAGCAAACAGG